rnacentral:lncRNA from 1 species
GGUUUUAUCGAUAUUUUCCUUUUCCUUUGUGAAUAAAUAAAGUUCGGUGGCGACUUUACUGUCUAAGCGAGUGUUUUAUGCUCGCGCAUUUUUCCAGCCGCUUCAGGUUCUGUGUUUCGACUAAUCAUACUGUAACUAAAUAUAAGGACACAAAAGUUCCCCAUCGAAUAGCAUACCGCAGCCAACCAUUGUUACUAAACAACAUCGGUAACUGCGAUAAGACUAGUAGACGGAGGACUAUG